rnacentral:lncRNA from 1 species
UGGGAGGCAACACUUGGCUACCUGAUAAGUGUGAUGAGAUCUUUCUAUCCUUGCAGCCUUUUUCCAGAAGCCUUGAAACACAGAAUGGAUGUAGUGACUGGAUUCAGAGAAACGGUGUCAGGAGCACUGAACUCCACCCUUGUUCAGUCACUGGUGUCUUUGUGCAGCACUUUCCCAAUGCUCCUGGAGCUGGCACCUUCCUGCACUAGAGUUUGUCUUCUGCUGCCUCACUGUCCGGUGCUGCAUCACUGUUCUGUGCUGUGAGUAUCCAGCCCAUGGUGACUGCUGUACACACCCAACCUUCCUUCUCUUAGAGACUUCAG